CCUGCGGAAGGAUCAUUAAUGAAUUUUAGGACGUUCUUUUUAGAAGUCCGACCCUUUCAUUUUCUUACACUGUGCACACACUUCUUUUUUACACACACUUUUAACACCUUAGUAUAAGAAUGUAAUAGUCUCUUAAUUGAGCAUAAAUAAAAACAAAACUUUCAGCAACGGAUCUCUUGGCUCUCGCAUCGAUGAAGAACGCAGCGAAUUGCGAUAAGUAAUGUGAAUUGCAGAAUUCAGUGAAUCAUCGAAUCUUUGAACGCACCUUGCACUCUUUGGUAUUCCGAAGAGUAUGUCUGUUUGAGUGUCAUGAAACUCUCAACCCCCCUAUUUUGUAAUGAGAUGGGUGUGGGCUUGGAUUAUGGUUGUCUGUCGGCGUAAUUGCCGGCUCAACUGAAAUACACGAGCAACCCUAUUGAAAUAAACGGUUUGACUUGGCGUAAUAAUUAUUUCGCUAAGGACGUUUUCUUCAAAUAUAAGAGGUGCUUCUAAUUCGCUUCUAAUAGCAU
rnacentral:rRNA from 1 species